GAGAACUCACCGGCCGCUGUUCUCCUCCUCGCCUUCCUCCAAGCCCUAGACAUCCCUUCGAGGAUGGCCUCCGAGGUGGAGGACAUGACGUGGGAACCCCUUAGAGAAGAAUCGAGGAGCUGAAGACGGCAAGGACCUGUGCGGAGGAAGUGGCUGAGUAGCUAGGCUCUCAGACGGAAGAAAGGGGCCGUCCUCUCGGCAGGAUGAAGCCCCGAAGGAAGAGCAGGGGGUUUAAAUAGCCAACGGAUCUUAGCGCAGUUAUGGCGGCGGGUGUCCCUAGGCCAACUGGUGCGUGCCACGUGUCCCGCGUGUCCCACUCGCCGCUAUCGAGGAUUGACUGUUCGCAAAUUUCCGUAGCGCGACGCUUGGGAUCACAUUUCGGCGG
rnacentral:lncRNA from 1 species